rnacentral:lncRNA from 1 species
CAGCAGCAAGAGCUGCAUUUGGGGCUGGGAGUCUGGGAGUCCUCCGUGAAGGAGCGGACUCAGAGGGGAAGGCCUGGCUUUGCGAGGGAGUAGGGAGCUGGGGUCAGACAGCUACUGUGCUAACUCUGCCUCUCCCUCUGCAGAUCCCACUCACUCCACUCCAGCCACCAUCAGAGCCACCAGCCUCCCCCUCCCUGAGCUCCACUGAGGGACCGGCUGCCCCACUGCCUCUGGGGCACUGUGCUGGGCAGAGAGAGGUAUGUUGGGAGCAGCAGCUGAGGCCAGGAGGCCCAGGCCCCCCAGCCGCCCCACCCCCAGCGCUGGAUGCCCUAUCCCCAUUCCUUCGGAAGAAGGCCCAGAUUCUGGAGGUGCUGAGAGCCCUGGAAGAGACUGACCCCUUGCUUCUCUGCUCACCUGCCACCCCCUGGCAGCCUCCAGGCCAGGGGCCUGGCUCCCCAGAGCCCAUCAACGGCGAGCUGUGUGGCCCGCCUCAGCCUGAACCCUCACCCUGGGCGCCCUGCCUGCUGCUAGGCCCUGGCAACCUGGGAGGCCUGCUGCACUGGGAGCGCCUCUUGGGGGGUCUGAGAGGGGAAGAGGACACUGGGCGGCCCUGGGGUCCUAGCAG